rnacentral:rRNA from 1 species
UAAGGAAUAUUGGUCAAUGGGCGCAAGCCUGAACCAGCCAUGCCGCGUGCAGGAAGACGGCCCUCCGGGUUGUAAACUGCUUUUGUACGGGAAUAAACCUCCGAUCGUGAUCGGAGCUGAAUGUACCGUAAGAAUAAGGAUCGGCUAACUCCGUGCCAGCAGCCGCGGUAAUACGGAGGAUCCAAGCGUUAUCCGGAUUUAUUGGGUUUAAAGGGUGCGUAGGCGGCCUGUUAAGUCAGGGGUGAAAGACGGUGGCUCAACCAUCGCAGUGCCCUUGAUACUGAUGGGCUUGAAUGGACUAGAGGUAGGCGGAAUGUGACAAGUAGCGGUGAAAUGCAUAGAUAUGUCACAGAACACCGAUUGCGAAGGCAGCUUACUAUGGUCCUAUUGACGCUGAGGCACGAAAGCGUGGGGAUCGAACA